AGAGGCAGAGGGGCGGCGGAGGGAGGAAGCCCCGAUUCGGAACCCCAAACUCUGGUUCCGCUUGGGGGGGAAGCGAGAGGAAGGACCCCAAACCCCGAUGCCCCCCCCCCCAGUUCCCCAAAAAACGCACGCAAACAACUCCCCUCCCCAAGAAACCCGGACUGCAAGUUCAGCAAAGAGAGGGCAGAAUCAGCAAACGGCCACGCUGCUCCUUGGCUUUCCAGAGGAUGUUAUCUUCCCCCCCCACACACACACACACACACCUCACACACAAUUGCACACUCCCGGGCACCCACCCCCCUCCCCCCCCAAAGAAGAAAUCUACAGAUCGGGCUCGGAAAGAAAAAGCAAAUGGGCACCUCGUUCGCUUCCAUGCCCGGGAUCGGGCGAGCUGGAAAGGAAAGAGAGGGGAGAGAAAAGAAGGUGGAAAAAUGGGAAACGAGAAGGAACUAAAAGAAAAGAGAAGCCAAUCAGAAGUCAAUCAGAAGCCCCUUCUGACGUCAUCUGCAUUCUAAAAACACUGGUGGGCACCACAAUGGGACCCCUAAAGUAUACCAUACUGAGAAGAUGGCUGUCAGGAAUCAACCCGUGAUCCAGUGGUACCUAAGAGGGGAAGAACAAUCCAAGCAUCCCAUCUCCAAGUUCAGCGAGGACUGUCAGCAGGCCUGGCACAAAACGUCCUGCCCCAUGAAUAAAAGUUAAAUGUGUGGAAAAGGGCAGGUGAAGCUUUACAUCACAUAGAGG